GAAGCUCGCCAGACCACCGCUGGUGCAAUUUGGGAAACCAAGCACUGGAGGAACGUCCGGACUGCAUAGGGCAGCGUAGCAGCUAACGGCUGUCCACUGACAAACUUCCCACGCAAGUGGGAGGCCCUAAGGUGAGGAUUAGAGCAACAGAGACGAGUCGACAUAGAUAACCCAUGGGUGUUCUAUGCGUGUAGCGCGGCGCAAGCCGUGCCCCGGGUAACCGGGUGCGCAUAGCCGCACGACAGGGGCUCUGCCCAUGUCGGGUGAAACGGGCAAUCUCUACGCGCAGCAAUACCAAGUAGGCACACGUUGACGGGGCCCCCGGAGUGUGCGGGUAGGUAGCACCGAGCUGUUGGGUGACCAGCAGCCAAGAGUAAUGGUGGUCACAUGAGGGGAAACCCUCAUGCACAGAAUCCGGCUUAUCGGUGGGCUUCACAC
rnacentral:RNase_P_RNA from 1 species